rnacentral:lncRNA from 10 species
CGCGGGUGAGUCUGCCUUGGUCAGGUUUCUUGUUUACAAAGUUGCUUUUUUCUCUGUUUCCGUGCUGUGCUCCCUGGAAGGAAGUCUCCAUGUGCAGCCCACACUGAGGGAAAUACAAGGCCACUCAUGACUGUGUGACCUGGGCAGGCUACUUAACCUCUGUGUCUCAGUUUCCUUAUCUGGGAAACAGGCUGAUAUUCCCACCACACAGGGCUGUCGCUGGCUGGCACAUGGAACGUUCAGAACGGUGUCUGGUUGUAAAGCCUGGGGCAACAGCAAGACGGCAGCAGCCAUGGCGAGGCAGAAGAGUCAACGCCAGCCCAGGAAGCAUCAGGAAGUCCACAUCAGGGGAGUGAGAUGGACAGAAAGAGAGGGACUCAGCUGGUGCAACCCUUCCCCUUUCCUCUUUCUCCUUGCUUUGAACAUGGAUCUAAUGGCAGGAGCUAAGGCAGCCAUCUUGUGACCAUGAGGAAAGAGACUGACAGCAGUUUCAGCCGGGCAUGCCUCAGCCAUUGAACAGCACCUUAGAUUUCUCACGUGAGAAAAAUAAAUUCCUGUUUGUUUAAAUCACUGAAGUAGUUUUUUG